rnacentral:rRNA from 1 species
CCUACGGGAGGCAGCAGUGGGGAAUAUUGCACAAUGGGGGAAACCCUGAUGCAGCAACGCCGCGUGAGUGAAGAAGUAUUUCGGGAUGUAAAGCUCUAUCAGCAGGGAAGAAAAUGACAGUACCUGACUAAGAAGCCCCGGCUAACUACGUGCCAGCCGCCGCGGUCAUACGUAGGGGGCAAGCGUUAUCCGGAUUUACUGGGUGUAAAGGGAGCGUAGACGGCUGCGCAAGUCAGAAGUGAAAGCCCGGGGCUCAACCGCGGGACUGCUUUUGAAACUGUGUAGCUAGAGUGCAGGAGAGGUAAGUGGAAUUCCUAGUGUAGCGGUGAAAUGCGUAGAUAUUAGGAGGAACACCGGUGGCGAAGGCGGCUUACUGGACUGUAACUGACGUUGAGGCUCGAAAGCGUGGGGAGCAAACAGGAUUAGAUACCCCUGUAGUC